UUGAAUGGGUAAAUUAAUCCAAUUCUAAUAUGGGUUUGUUUUAUUUCUCUACAUGCAAUGAAGGAUGUCACAUCUUUGAACUUGCUAUGUUAUUUAGACAUCGGUUGGUAUCUACUAUAGUACGUAUGCUUACGCAAAUGUAUUUGUUCAAAAAAAAGCUGUAAUUUGGUAAUAGUCUUUUUUUAACAUCCAGGUUCAUCCUCUGGACGAAGGAGGUUGUCACCCACAGAUUAAGGUCCAUGCAUAACUUGUCCUCUGGAGGAAGGAGGUUGUCACCCACAGAUUAAGGUCCAUGCAUAACUUGUCCUCUGGACGAAGGAGGUUGUCACCCACAGAUUAAGGUCCAUGCAUAACUUGUCCUCUGGACGAAGGAGGUUGUCACCCACAGAUUAAGGUCCAUGCUUAACUUGUCCUCUGGACGAAGGAGGUUGUCAACCACAGAUUAAGGUCCAUGCAUAAAUUGUCCUCUGGACUAAGGAGGUUUUCAACCACAGAUUAAAGGCAGAAGUCAUUCUGUGGACUAAGGAGGUUUUCCACCACAGAUUAAAGGCAGAAGUCAUUCUGUGGAUGAAGGAGAUUGUCAACCACAGAUUAAAGGCAGAAGUCAUUCUGUGGACUAAAUGAGGUUUUCAACCACAGAUUAAAGGCAGAAGUCAUUCUGUGGACUAAGGAGGUUUUCAACCACAGAUUAAAGG
ensembl:lncRNA